rnacentral:lncRNA from 1 species
GGAAAAGAUUAAACCAAUAUGGUUCCACUUGACCAUAUCUAGAUUUCAGUCAUGCCAUUCAUUAUCAGAUUUAGCAGACUUUUUAUUUAGUACCUCAUAUGUGCAAAGGCAUGAUUAUAAAUAAAAUAAUCAUUCUUCAGGAAGGGCCUUGAGGUUGCUUGACUUGUAGGAAGUUGUGCUUCUGCUUAUUUUGGUAAGAGGGACAAAGAUAGUCUAUGAAAAAGGGUUUUGUGCAGUGUAAUUUUGAAGUUUUUUGUGUCCGCUUUCUGGCCUCAACUAAGACAUUUCAGGGAUGUUACACGUUUUGCUUUUUUCCCUAAACAAGUAGUCCUGUAAAUUACCCUUAUUUUUUAUGCAUAGAUCAUUUGUUCUUAGGAUCAUUGG